rnacentral:tRNA from 1 species
AUCUUUCUAGUAUAACCAAUACCAAUAGCUUCCAACUAUUAAAUCUCAAAUAUUUGAGGAGAGAUA